UAAUAUUUAGGAGCCGUAUGAAUUUUUUCAAUUAUUGAGAAAUCUUUAUUUUUUCCUAAUUAGCAUUUUUCAGUAGAACAUUGUGAAAAUCGAGAAACCAUGAAAAGUAGAAUUUGCAGAUGGAGAAGAUAGAUUCUGGGUGAAACCAGAAGCAAAGAGAUAGCUCAACAACUGCUGUGAUUUUUUUUUUUUUUUUUUUGCAAAAUGACUAGCAAAGAAUUUUGUUUCAAUCCAGACUCCUGCUUCUAAUAACCAAUAUAAAUCAAUGCAUCUGUGUGACAUUGGCAAAUUUAAAACAAAAUGAGAAGAUUCUGGACUCCUUUCAACUGUUUCACCAACCAUAUAAAAGCAAGGAAUCCAUAAAUUGCUUCUUCAGGACGGUGGUCACGCCGCUGCUGCCUUCUUUGGCUGCAGCAGCUCGGGCACCUCUUCUAGACGCCUUAUUGCGCUGCCCCGGCAACCGUCACCAGGGAAACCAGCCACGCCGCUGCGUGACGUCCUCACGAGUCUACGGCAACCAAGAGGGCGCCGGGAGAUCGGAAAGGGACAGAGGCGCAGAUGGUCCGGGUUGAGGCGAUACUCUUUCUGGGCUAAGUCCUCCCAUUUUUCGGUUUCUUGCCUUAACUGACCUCCUCUGGAAAGUCUUCUCUGACUCUCCAAGUUUAUGGUAAGUGCUUUGGUUACGCAGUCCCAUAGGACCUGAUGCCUUCUCUAUAAUAACUCUUUCUUAUAAAUGCAAGUUUAACUGUUUUUCUCACUAGAAUCCUUGAAGUCAGGAGGUUACACCUGUCCUGCUUGUGUCUAUACCAUAGCCUGGCAUGAUGCUUAUUACAUAAAGUAUACCACAAAAUGUUUGUUGAAUAAAUUUUAAAGUAAUAUUUUCAACAAUUAAAAUUAUUCUCAGGUAAUUAGGAAUAUUUAGUGAAAACUAACAAUUAUACACAUUUGUAGAGUCAGUAAUAAAAAUGUCAAGCUGUAUGUACAUAAGUGCUUAUUUUUCUUUUCAUUCUUAUAUUGUAUCUAUGAAAGAACACAUGAUAACCUGAGUAGGUCUAGGAUCCUUGCAACCACAAGAGACAAAACCAUUAUAUACCACAAUCCACUUUUAAAAACUAGCACCUUCUUUUACAUAUAUAAAAGCAUGUUUUCUUCCUCUGCCUUAAUUAUUCCUAAACUAAGAAGUCAUUUGGGAAUUGUCUUUAAAAGCAAGAAAGUUGGUAGUUUUUCCUUUAAUCUCUCACAUCUGGAUAACUUUAACUGUCCAACAGGUCAAUGGAGCAAAAGUUCUCUUCUCCUUCCUUUCAGGAGGGAGGAGGAUCACCUUUCAGCAGUUUGUUCGGACAGGACAUUAGAUCUGGCUUUCAGAAAGCAGUCCCUGGGGAAAGAAUCAGGGCGUGAGGGAACCAUGUGGUCAUUAAGUCUCAAGUGACUAAUGAUAAUCUGUCUCUGAUCCAGAACACCUUGUGUGCACAUUUCAGGAUAAAGGGGAAUAUUAAAAGUCCAACGUAUCACAAAGUUAUUUGUUAUUCUAUGGUUCAAAUUAUAUAUCUAGCAUAAUAUAUAUCUGUAACACUCCCUGAGUAAAAGAUUUUGAUAAUUCUCUUCCUAAUGACCACCUAGAAGUUUCCCAAGUAUUCAUGAUUUAUAGCCACCUAAAUAAAAAAUGGUUAACUUUUAAAAUAGCAGGGUCAGUAAGUACAAAUCAUAUAACUUGAGAGUAAAAACCCAGAUUAUUAAUCCAUGCCAAUAGGCUUAUUUUACAGAAGCAAAAAAAAAGGUUAUGAAGGGUUAAAUGAACUGCUCAACAACAGGAAUACAUCUCUGGCAGGGUAGGAUUAGAACCCAGCUCUCCUGAUACACAGUUGUGGGUUCUUUUGAUUGACAAUAUAUUGCCAAAUCAUCUGUCUUAUAAUGCUGGUAUGUAUUUAAUCUUAAAAACAUUUAAAAUCCACUCCUUAACAGGAGCCCACAUCUCUUUCUUUGAAUUGUAAAAAAUGUCAGUCAUGCCUAAAAUUAAAUGUAACCUUCUUUCCCAGUGACUUAAUUCAUCUAACGAUUUCAAGUGUGAUUUGAAGAUUUUUUUUUCCCUAGCGCCACUUCUGAAUUUUCCUUUUUUAUCAUUUUCUCAUCCACCCGCAGCAGCUGACCCAGAUCUCUGUCGGAAAGUUGAACAGGUGCAAAAAGAGGCACCUAUAACCAGAUACUCAAAGCCAGUUUGGAAAACACGAAGUAGUCUGUAAACUUGGUAAGAUACUGCUGAAGACCUUUCCAAAUGCAUGGGAAUCUAGAAGAGGCAUAAGGGAACUGGAGCUGCCCAGCAUCACGUGAUGUAAAAGAUUUAAGGAUCUUCACAGCCCGUCAUUUUGGUCACUGGAACUACUAUCUAACAACAAUGGUUUCAAAUUUUGAUUUUGCAUCCGUUACCUGUCAGCCUAUUUAAAAUGGCUGCAAAGGCCCCACCCCGGAAGAUUCUGAUUCAGAUGGUCUGGGGCAGGGCCCAAGGAAUCUGUAUCUUAAGAAGACCCCUUCAAGAGAUUCUGGUGCAUAGGGAAGGAAGAGAACCCCUGGUAUACAGAACUCAAAUACGAUUGUCAUGCUGGGGCCUGGUACCGCUUCAAUCCAUCCUAACUUUUCAUCCAAACCGGUCUGGGUACUUCCGAAAGCAUAGAUUACUUCCAUAGGGAUUACCCCGAAGAGGGAAAUAACUGCUUCCCGCACCGGUAUAAUAAAAGAGACGAAUAAACCUGCCGAAUCAUUUCGGCUGCUCCCAAUACUAA